UGACAUGACGCCGACUACAGUAAUGGGUAAGAUCGUGGGAGGAAUCUGCUCGUUGUCGGGAGUGUUGGUCAUUGCACUUCCUGUGCCCGUGA
rfam:Pristionchus pacificus strain PS312 contig7139, whole genome shotgun sequence.